rnacentral:lncRNA from 1 species
UCAUGUGAACAAACUUAGAACCCAGUACAACUCCCGAAAACAGAUCACCCUAUAGUUUAAACACCCACGGAGAUACAAGAACAGCAUGAGGUUAUAUGCGACUCGUAUACCCGAAAUUGUGAUGGUGAAACCAUUUUUGAAUUCUAAUAUGAACUUCAGGACGGAAAACUACUUAAAGUAUACGAGUAAUCACAUCGUCAUGUGAACAAACUUAGAACCCAGUACAACUCCCGAAAACAGAUCACCCUAUAGUUUAAACACCCACGGAGAUACAAGAACAGCAUGAGGAACUUAGCGAACCACACAGAAAUAGAAUUAGAAGACUAGGUUUCUCACCCUAGAGAACCCCGGUCAGAUUCUUCCAGAGAUUGAUGGAUCGCAUCGUAUGUGCCUCGGAUAUCGAGGAAUCCGUCAAGAUUUUCAUAGAAAUCGUUAUCUCUGCCUCACAUAGACAAAAUGGUUGAGCAAACGUAAGGAAAGAAACUACUUCCAGGAAUAGACCUGAGAUCCGAAUAUCACCAGUUCGAUGUGUUAGGGAAGGAUGUCUGGGAGACUAUCUUCCGAAUUCGAUGCGGACGCCUCGAGUCCGUAGUGAUACCUUUCGGAUAGGACCAGUAUGCCCAUGGUUUUCAUGAGCUAAAUGAAUAGGGUUACGUCUUUCUUACUUGGAUCAAUUCGUCAUUUCUCCAUGAAAUGACUUACUUAUCUACCCUCGUAGGAAGAAGAAAGCCCAUGGAAACAUUCCUUCAGAGGAACUCUUAGCAAAGUUCUCUAGGCACGAGAUUUGGAAAUUGAGGAGUCAAAUUUCUAGGACACACUGUUAGUAAUGUGGGAAAUUUCGAGUACUCUUUCAAUUUGCCAAAACCAUUGAGCAUUCAUCGACACCAGAGAAGCCGACAACUUUCGCCAAAUUCUAGGUCUUACCGACCUAUCGCCUUAGUUCAUUCAGAACUCCUCGCAAGCUACAGAAACUCGUACGACUUUGACCCAGCAAGGGGUGGCCUUUGACUGGGAAGUUACGCAAGAAAAGGAACCUUUGAGAUUCCGAGUG